UGUAUGCAGGUGUGUUCUUGGUCUACC
rnacentral:sRNA from 1 species